GCAUGGAAGACCUUCAGUCUGAGUAUUUCCUGCUCAUUGAUCCUGAAGAAAUCUCAGGGGGUUGGCUGGAAAGGGUCACCCCUGGACUCAUGUUCUAGAAGGACACCCUGUUAGGAGCUUCACUUCCCAAAGGCAUGGAGCCAGACCCUUGGACUUUUGAUUUCAAAUCCUCCCCCUUCCUUUCUUGGUGAGGGGAUGGAACCUGGGGAUUCCUUCACGCUAAUGCUGUAUCACUGAGCUACGUCCCUGGCCUUUCAAAUUUCUGCUAAGAACACCUCUCAGCAUCUUCCCAGUGCAUCGUAACUAAAAUUACCAGGUGGGACUCCGUUCAUCCAGGAGAGGAGCACACACCAAUGAAGGACUCCGUUUUCCACCUGGCAAAAUACCUGGCCCUGACGGCACAGGAUUCUGAGCAAGAUUGCUCCCCCUCGAGAGCAGCCAAGUCCUGGGGUACAGCCAGCAUUACAUUCUGAUUUUUUUUUAAAGCAAUGGUUUCCCUUCUGUGGACUGUGAAGAGAGGGUCCUCCAUGGAAUCCACUGUAAGAGAUCCUUACAUCCUUGUGAACCAGAAAGCCUUGGGCUAUGGUUUGGACAUUCCUACCAAAACUCAUGUUGAAAAAAAUUUUAGCCAAAUCCUCAGAAGACUGUCCAGGCAGGUGCCAGGUGCAGAGCCGAGAUACAGCAAGAGAAAGGGGCCCAGUUGUGUCUCCCAGGCCAGGAUCCAGGACAACAGUGCCCUUCAUGUUCCAGGCAGCCUUGAGCAGCCGGCAGAUAAAGUCCACGUGCAGGAGCUGAGGUGGAGUGAGGCCCGUCAGCUGGGCGUGAGGUUGGACAGUCGUGGACAGGAGGAAGCCACCGUUCUGUGAGCGUUCAGUCCUCACGUGAACCUGGAGAGCGUCUCCCAUGAGCUCAUUCCACAGGGAAGGAGAUGAGGCUAGGAGAAGCCAUGCCAUCUGCUCAGGUCACAGAGUCAGUGGGGUGCAGCUGGGCUGUGGAGCUGGAGCUGCCCUUCAGGCCUGGAUGCCCCCCAAUCCCCGCCUCUGUGACCUCGACUUCCUCUGGGCCACAGCCAGGAGACACUGGUGUUCAUGUGACGGGGGCUCUGCUUUAUGUUUCAGCCUGUGGAGCUGUGUUCCCACAGGUCCCAUCAUGAGGCCAGAGGCCAGAGGUCAGAUCAGAACCCUGGGCCUGGGUCCAAGGGGAGACCCUUCCACCCACUGCACGUGUGGCUUGCGGGCGUCCUCGUGUCUGUUUCUGCAACCCGGAGCCUUUGUGGUCAGUCCUCGAGGCUAGGCCCCUCAGCCCUCUGGCUUGCAUAGCAUCGAAUGACAGAAGCAGCCACCUGGAAGGAACGCGUGUCCUCUCACAUGGGUCUCCUCCUGACCCCCACCGUGGAUGCUAUUAGUACCCACGUUGUGCAGGUGGGGACACUGGGGUAUGGCAGGUGAAGUCAUUCGUCUAGAUCAUCCUGGGGGGCUGGAGCCAGGUUCCUACAGAGGCGAUCCCACUCCAGAACUCCUAGGGUGCUGUCCCUCCAGCCCUGCAAUGUCAGCUGUGGACGAGCAGAGCCCAGGGCUGUCUCCACUGAGUUCCAGGUGUCCUCGUGGAUGCCUGGUACACAGCGCGGCUCAGCAGGUAUCACGAAAUGACAGACUGACUGUCACGGCCCUGCCAAGGACGCUCUGGAAGAGCUGUCACCUGCAGGUCCCCUUCUCUGGCCCUCUCUCUGGAGCUCGCCUACGUCUGUUCCUUGACACCGUUUAUGGGAAGCCGUGUUAAGUUUACAGCCUCGUGAGCAGCGGCUCCGCGGGGUCCGUUCCCACGUCGGCUGCCGCGGGAUCCUGGCAGCUUUUUUUGGGUCGUUCAUUUCCCCUGCGUGGCGCUGAUGGCUGCCCCAGACCUCUCCUGAGACGUGGACUAUUUUGCAUUUGUAAGCUACCACCUUUAUGGAAAAGGCCUGUGGGAUUGGGGUGUGCCGUGACCACUUGUUCCCCUGCAGACAGUGUCAAGGCCACCUUCACCUGAAAAUGAAAGCACGUGACCAGCAGUGUGACAUAGAGAAUGUCCUUGUGGCACUGGAUGUUCACGCAGGACUCCAGUGAGGCUGUGUGUGUGAAGCACACCAGGGGCAGGGGGUUGCUGAUGCCAAGGAUUGUCCUGCAAGAGUUUACAGUAGGGUGGGGGAAGAAAAAGGAGGCACCCUUUUGUGGGGACAGGCAGGACAGGAAGGAGGGGGAAGGCUGGGGGCUUGAGGACUCUGCCCUUCCACAGCCCCCACCCAUCACCCUACCCUACCCUAGUCCCCCUCAGCAGGACGGCAGGUGGAGGGAAGUUUCCAGAAUACAGUUCACCCCCGGUCUGUGCCAGGUCCCUUCCCCAGCUCCGCUUGUCCCCACAGCAUGGCUACGAGAAGGUUGUUACUGAUUUAUUUUGCAGUGUGGGAAACUGAUGCUGACCACUGCCACUGCCAGGUGACCCAGUCAUCAACCAAAUCAAGGUUUGUCUGUGGCCGGAGCCGCCCUUCAGCCUCGGCCACCUGCAUGCUGACAAUGAAAGACACCCAAAUCCGUGACGGUGACCAUGAGGACCUCUUUCAUGUCCUCCGGUCUUUUUGUUAUGUGGGCGAUUCUCCAGUCUGCUCCCUCUUGGGGUUCAGCGAGUAAAACCUCUUUAAAAUGUCAAGGAAUGGGGCACUCACUGCAGGAAAUGGAGUUCUCCGUGAUGGAUGACCUUGGGGAGGAGGGAUGCCCCUGAAGGUGAUGGCAGGCACCAAAAAAGGAAGGCCCCUGGCGGGAGGAGGAGAGGGCCCCAGGAGAGCUGGCGGAGACGUGAG